CCUACGGGUGGCAGCAGUGGGGGAUAUUGCACAAUGGGGGAAACCCUGAUGCAGCGACGCCGCGUGAGUGAAGAAGUCUUUCUGUAUGUAAAGCUCUAUCAGCAGGGAAGAAAAUGACAGUACCUGACCAAGACGCCCCGGCUAACUACGUUCCAGCAGCCGCGGUACUACGUAGGGGGCAAGCGUUAUCCGGAUUUACUGGGUGUAAAGGGAGCGUAGCCGGUUAUGUAAGUCUGAAGUGAAAGCCCGGGGCUCAACCCCGGGACUGCUUUGGAUACUGUGUAACUGGAGUACAGGAGGGGCAGGCGGAAUUCCUGGUGUAGCGGUGAAAUGCGUAGAGAUCAGGAGGAACACCGGCGGUGAAGGCGGCCUGCUGAACUGAAACUGACGUUGAGGCUCGAAAGCGUGGGGAGCAAACAGGAUUAGAUACCCUUGUAGUC
rnacentral:rRNA from 1 species